GAGUUUGAUCCUGGCUCAGGAUGAACGCUAGCGGCAGGCUUAACACAUGCAAGUCGAGGGGUAUAGUAGCAAUACUAGAGACCGGCGCACGGGUGCGUAACGCGUAUGCAAUCUACCUUUUACAGAGGGGCAGCCCAGAGAAAUUUGGAUUAAUACCUCAUAGUAUAUUGCUACCGCAUGGUAGUAUUAUUAAAGUCACAACGGUAAAAGAUGAGCAUGCGUCCCAUUAGUUAGUUGGUAAGGUAACGGCUUACCAAGACAAUGAUGGGUAGGGGUCCUGAGAGGGAGAUCCCCCACACUGGUACUGAGACACGGACCAGACUCCUACGGGAGGCAGCAGUGAGGAAUAUUGGACAAUGGGCGCAAGCCUGAUCCAGCCAUGCCGCGUGCAGGAAGACGGUCCUAUGGAUUGUAAACUGCUUUUGUACAGGAAGAAACACUCGGACGUGUCCGAGCUUGACGGUACUGUAAGAAUAAGGAUCGGCUAACUCCGUGCCAGCAGCCGCGGUAAUACGGAGGAUCCAAGCGUUAUCCGGAAUCAUUGGGUUUAAAGGGUCCGUAGGCGGUUAAAUAAGUCAGUGGUGAAAUCUGGUCGCUCAACGAUCAAACGGCCAUUGAUACUGUUUAACUUGAAUUAUUUGGAAGUAACUAGAAUAUGUAGUGUAGCGGUGAAAUGCUUAGAUAUUACAUGGAAUACCAAUUGCGAAGGCAGGUUACUACAAAUGGAUUGACGCUGAUGGACGAAAGCGUGGGUAGCGAACAGGAUUAGAUACCCUGCUAGUCCACGCCGUAAACGAUGGAUACUAGCUGUUGGGAGCAAUUUCAGUGGCUAAGCGAAAGUGAUAAGUAUCCCACCUGGGGAGUACGUUCGCAGAUGAAACUCAAGGAUGACGGGGGCCCGCACAGCGUGGAGCAUGUGG
rnacentral:rRNA from 1 species